rnacentral:rRNA from 1 species
AGUUGGAUUCGCUAGUAAUCGCGGAUCAGCAUGCCGCGGUGAAUACGUUCUCGGGCCUUGUACACACCGCCCGUCACACCAUGGGAGUCGGUAACACCCGAAGUCUGUAGCCUGACGCAAGAGGGCGCAGCCGAAGGUGGGAUUGAUGACUGGGGUGAAGUCGUAACAAGGUACC